GGAAUGAGGAGGCCCCUCUGUGGCCUGCCAUGGAGUUUACCCACCUGGGGAAAUUCACUCAUAUUUCCUCUGGACAGCAGUCACAGGGACCACAGGAGGGCUGAGCAUCACAAAUAAGGAAGUGGAAUCCCAGAAUCCGUGCCAGAGUGCAGGCGGGUCACUAGGAUAGGCAGGCGGCUGGAGUCUCCGAUGAGUUGCUUUCUCGUGUCUGCAGGCACCAUAACCCAGCACCAUGUCCCAUCACACUUUAUAUCUGAGCCAUCCACCUAGCUGUUUAAACAUCAGAACAUCCAAAGCACUCGGGAGGCACAGGCAGUGCCCAUGUCAUGUGGCCACAACCACCUAUGACUCCAGCUCCAGGGACAUACACUCCACCAUGCACAUACGGAAAUACCUACCCAUGCACACACAAAUAAUUAAAAAUAAAGCCUUUGAAAAGG
rnacentral:lncRNA from 1 species